rnacentral:tRNA from 1 species
UCUAAUUUGGCAGAUUAAUUGUAUCAAAUUUAGAAUUUGAAGAGGGGUAAAUUUAACCAGUUAGAA